GAGAAAUUGAAAAAUCACUAGAAGCGCAUGAACAGUUUUGCAGUGGCUGGGUGCAAGAUCUGCUAAUUCACAAGCAAAGUUGGACACUGGCAAACUGCAAGAGCAAAGGCCAGAACAAGGGAUGUUGCCUGCAAGACCGACCCACCAAAGAGACACACUGGCUCUUCAGCCUCACAUCAGAAGUGCAGAUCCUGAUGAAGCUCAGGUGUUCCUGGACCCAUCAGGGGAGGAAGUUAUUGCUUGGCAGGUGUCAUGUCAAUUGACGAGCUGAAGACAACACAGCGGCCAGCAACAUCAGGAAGGUCUUAUCCACUGAAAGAUGCGUCAGGAUGAACAUUGUCACCUGAGAGCUCCAAUACCAGCUGACACUUCAGUAUACCAGAAACCCUUUAC